rnacentral:rRNA from 1 species
GAUGAACGCUGGCGGCGUGCCUAAUACAUGCAAGUCGAGCGAACGGACGAGAAGCUUGCUUCUCUGAUGUUAGCGGCGGACGGGUGAGUAACACGUGGAUAACCUACCUAUAAGACUGGGAUAACUUCGGGAAACCGGAGCUAAUACCGGAUAAUAUUUUGAACCGCAUGGUUCAAAAGUGAAAGACGGUCUUGCUGUCACUUAUAGAUGGAUCCGCGCUGCAUUAGCUAGUUGGUAAGGUAACGGCUUACCAAGGCAACGAUGCAUAGCCGACCUGAGAGGGUGAUCGGCCACACUGGAACUGAGACACGGUCCGGACUCCUACGGGAGGCAGCAGUAGGGAAUCUUCCGCAAUGGACGAAAGCCUGACGGAGCAACGCCGCGUGAGUGAUGAAGGUCUUCGGAUCGUAAAACUCUGUUAUUAGGGAAGAACAUAUGUGUAAGUAACUGUGCACAUCUUGACGGUACCUAAUCAGAAAGCCACGGCUAACUACGUG